rnacentral:lncRNA from 1 species
GCAUUAGAGCUUGGGUGUGUGUCCCACUCCAGGGCUUCCAGGAGAGGGAAUGCAGGCUGAUGCCACCUCCACCCCUGUCGCUCUAGGGGAGAAGGCAGAGCUGGUGCUGUAUGAAGUUUGGCUGCAGAUCCUGGGCCAGCCCUACACCAAGGCCUUGGAGGACAAAACCAGCCUUGAGUUCUGGGCACUUCAGGGGCAACCGACAAGGCACUCCUAGCCUCGAAGCCUCCAGCCUGCUGGAUGCCUCCAUCCCCGGCUAUGCUGUGGCUCUCCUCAUUCUAGGCCUCCUGCUUGUCACAUUCACCCUUGUCCUGGUGCUAAAGUGGAGGGCAUGCCUUGGGGUGUCCAGCCUGGGUGUGUAGAAGCACACAGUGUGGUACAGAGGACCCUCUCCAGACAGGUGACCCCUCAUGCUGCUGCUCCCUCUGCUGAAACCCAAACUGCAAACCUCUCCUCUCCCUGCCUUCACCUUGCCCCACGGCUUCCACAGACAGUGCCUCAACCCCGAGGAAUGAAUCCGAAGUUCCAACACCACUGACUUUCCCAGGAACUCAGAGCCAGAGAGGGCCAAGGACCAGCUCGAGGACACACAGCCAGGGCUUCUUCCCUUCGAAACCCCCAAGGACUGGACUUGCAGGACUGGGACAGAGGUGGGGUGGGGGAAAGCAAUGCCUUAUCAACCCAUGUGGGGAGCCCCACUCCCAUCCCCAAGGUGCAUAAAGUUGAGGAACACCCCUGCUCCCACGUCCAUGCUCACUCAG